GGCCCAGUUGGUAAUAAAGGUGACAGAGGUCGACCUGGUCGUGGUGGUGAACCUGGUGAGUCUGGCAACGACGGACCUACCGGCCAAAUGGGACGCAACGGACUUCGAGGUCCAGCAGGACAUAUUGGACUGCCGGACUUCUUGGGCAUAAUGUAAGUUUUCAUAGUCAUAGUGACGACACUCCAUCAUAGUUCUGUUGCAGCCUUAUGCUAAAAUCAUUCAAAUGUAUUUUCCCCUCAUUAAUCUACACUCGAUACCACAUAAUGACAAAGUAAAAACAGGAUUUUAAAUGUGAAAAAAAAAUCGAAUACAUGCUGAAUGCACUGUACAUUGUGUGUGUGUAUACACACAUACACCUACAUCAUAAAUACAAUCCGACAUGCAUAUGUGUGUGUGUGUGUGUGGUGUGUGUGUGUGUGUGUGUGUGUGUGUGUGUGUGUGUGUCCUCCCCCAGGGUGAGAGGGGCUCUAAGGCGGUCGUGGGCCUAAUGGACCGGACGGUCUACAGGGAGAUCAGGGUGAAGAUGGACCAGAGGGACUCUCGGGACCUCGAGGUCCCGCAGGAGGUGACGGAACCCCGGGGGGUAAAGGAGACAAUGGUCAUCAAGGAAUUAGCGGAGCCCCAGGUAUGGCGGGUGCGCGGGGCCCACCAGGACCCCCAGGCAACAUUGGGGGCCAUGGACCCAGGGGAACCCCGGGUAACCCUGGUCCUGCUGGGAGAAAAGGGAGAACCUGGAGUGAAGGGAGAGCCAGGUUCGAAAGGACCCCUGGGGCUCGCAGGAUACCCCGGUCGCGAUGGACAGAGAGGACCACUUGGAGAACAGGAGGACAAGGCCCAACAGGACCGCAGGCUUAUCGGUACAUUUACCCCUCCCAUACCCACAU
rnacentral:lncRNA from 1 species